rnacentral:rRNA from 1 species
GAUGAACGCUGGCGGCGUGCCUAAUACAUGCAAGUCGAGCGAACAGACGAGGAGCUUGCUCCUCUGACGUUAGCGGCGGACGGGUGAGUAACACGUGGAUAACCUACCUAUAAGACUGGGAUAACUUCGGGAAACCGGAGCUAAUACCGUAUAAUAUAUUGAACCGCAUGGUUCAAUAGUGAAAGACGGUUUUGCUGUCACUUAUAGAUGGAUCCGCGCCGCAUUAGCUAGUUGGUAAGGUAACGGCUUACCAAGGCAACGAUGCGUAGCCGACCUAAGAGGGUGAUAGGCCACCCUGGAACUGAGCCACGGUCCAGACUCCUACGGGAGGCCGCAGUAGGGAAUCUUCCGCAAUGGGCGAAAGCAUGACGGAGUAACGCCGAGUGAGUGAUGAAGGUCUUGGGAUCGUAAAACUCUGUUAUUAGGGAAGAACAAAUGUGUAAGUAACUAUGCACGUCUUGACGGUACCUAAUCAGAAAGCAACGGCUAACUACGUG